UGGCCAGGGCGACCGGCCUCGCUAGACUUCAUGAAUAUGCAAAGCAGGGCAAGCGGCGGCUAACCUGCCCCCGGCCCGCGAGGCCCGUCGGCUGCAGCCUCUCAGGCGGGGGCUGCACGAGAACCUGACGCGGCUAUCGGUCGGAGGCCGCCCUCCUGGGCCACCUGUACAGCGACAGCCUGCUCCAGAGCUUCCUGAGGAGACGCCUGCCCGCCAAGAUACAACCUGGCUGUUACCACCAAGGAUUGGAAUGAGGAUCAUUCUGGGACUGCUGUAAGAUGGUGGAAACUGGAACCAAGUGCUUCCUUCAUGCUGAAACACAAAUUGGUACACCAAGAAUUAAGGAUCAGUGAAGAGCAAGAGUUCUCCAGAUAAUGAAUAAGAGGAGGGAUGCAGUUGCCUUGGAGCUGGCAGACUGCACGGCAAACAAGCAGGAGUCCCACCACCUCCCAUAGAGACGACACUGGAAUGCAGGUAAGGUGCUGGAAAUCAGUCACAGAUGUUCAAGGGUAAGCUUUGGCAGGACGCCAUUCUUCCUGCUGUAGAUCAGCCAGACUUUGUAAAACAUAAUCUAUUUCCUCACUGGAUCCUCAACAGUCCCAUGGGCAAAUCAAACAUCCCCAUAGGUGAGAAAUGAAAGCAGAGUAGAGUGGUCAACCCCCCACCCCAUAAGUGAUUGAGGGUUAGAACACAGGUCUCACAACACGGGGUCAGGGCUGUGCACACGCAGGCACUUGCCUAGACAGACACUGAGCUCUAGCUUCAUCAUUUCAUGUUUGAUUUUCUAUAAUGUAAUCACUCACAGGAUCAUUGACCCCCGAGGGAACUUGUCCCUGCAUUAGAAGGGAAACUGUUUAGUUGUGGGAGCUCCUCCUGAGAAACAGUCCAUUUUAUGUUAUUUAUUUUUGAGAUGGGAGUUUUGCACUUGUUGCCCAGGCUGGAGUGCAAUGGCUUGAUCUCUGCUCACUGCAGCCUCCACCUCCCAGGUUCAAGCAGUUCUCCUCC